AACGAACGCUGGCGGCAGGCCUAACACAUGCAAGUCGAACGAACCUUUCGGGGCUAGUGGCGCACGGGUGCGUAACACGUGGGAACGUGCCUUUAGGUUCGGAAUAACUCCGGGAAACUUGUGCUAAUACCGAAUGUGCCCUUCGGGGGAAAGAUUAAUCGCCUUUAGAGCGGCCCGCGUCUGAUUAGCUAGUUGGUUGGGGUAAUGGCUCACCAAGGCGACGAUCAGUAGCUGGUCUGAGAGGAUGAUCAGCCACAUUGGGACUGAGACACGGCCCAAACUCCUACGGGAGGCAGCAGUGGGGAAUCUUGCGCAAUGGGCGAAAGCCUGACGCAGCCAUGCCGCGUGAAUGAUGAAGGUCUUAGGAUUGUAAAGUUCUUUUACCCGGGAUGAUAAUGACGGUACCCGGAGAAGAAGCCCCGGCUAACUUCGUG
rnacentral:rRNA from 1 species